rnacentral:rRNA from 1 species
CCUACGGGUGGCAGCAGUGAGGAAUAUUGGUCAAUGGGCGCGAGCCUGAACCAGCCAAGUAGCGUGAAGGAUGACUGCCCUACGGGUUGUAAACUUCUUUUAUAAGGGAAUAAAGUGAGGCACGUGUGCCUUUUUGUAUGUACUUUAUGAAUAAGGAUCGGCUAACUCCGUGCACGCAGCCGCGGUAAUCCGGAGGGUCCGAGCGUUCUCCGGAUUUAUGGGGUUUAAAGGGAGCGUAGAUGGGUUGUUAAGUCAGUUGUGAAAGUUUGCGGCUCAACCGUAAAAUUGCAAUUGAUACUGGCAGCUUUGAGGACAGUUGAGGUAGGCGGAAUUCGUGGUGUAGCGGUGAAAUGCUUAGAUAUCACGAAGAACUCCGAUUGCGAAGGCAGCCUACUAAACUGCCACUGACAUUGAUGCUCGAAAGUGUGGGUAUCAAACAGGAUUAGAUACCCUAGUAGUC